rnacentral:rRNA from 1 species
UACAGAGGGUGCAAGCGUUAAUCGGAAUUACUGGGCGUAAAGGGCUCGUAGGUGGUUAUAUAAGUUGGACGUGAAAGCCCUGGGCUCAACCUAGGAAUAGCGACCAAUACUGUGUAGCUAGAGUACAGUAGAGGGUAUAGGAAUUUCCGGUGUAGCGGUGAAAUGCGUAGAUAUCGGAAGGAACAUCAGUGGCGAAGGCGUAUACCUGGACUGAAACUGACACUGAGGAGCGAAAGCGUGGGGAUCAAACAGG